rnacentral:rRNA from 1 species
CCUACGGGAGGCAGCAGUGGGGAAUUUUGGACAAUGGGCGCAAGCCUGCUCCAGCCAUGCCGCGUGUCUGAAGAAGGCCUUCGGGUUGUAAAGGACUUUUGUCAGGGAAGAAAAGGCUGUUGCUAAUAUCGACAGCUGAUGACGGUACCUGAAGAAUAAGCACCGGCUAAAUACGUGCCAGCAGCCGAGGUAAUACGUAGGGUGCGAGCGUUAAUCGGAAUUACUGGGCGUAAAGCGAGCGCAGACGGUUACUUAAGCAGGAUGUUAAAUCCCCGGGCUCAACCUGGGAACUGCGUUCUGAACUGGGUGACUAGAGUGUGUCAGAGGGAGGUAGAAGUCCACGUGUAGCAGUGAAAUGCGUAGAGAUGUGGAGGAAUACAGAUGGCGAAGGCAGCCUCCUGGGAUAGCACUGACGUUCAUGCUCGAAAGCGUGGGUAGCAAACAGGAUUAGAUACCCGAGUAGUC